UGGAGUGAAAGUAUUUUUGUAAUUGGUCAUUUUCUGAACGAAUUCCAUUACUGCUGAAUGUUGAUAUACAGCUACUGCUGGCAUGAUGUGAGCCCAGGCUGAGCAGUUUGGGGUUUUUUAAGUGAAAAUGUGGCUGGAAGGCAUGCAGCAUGUUGCUUGCAUCUGGAAUGAACAAUCUUUUCUAAAUAUGACUACUUUAGUUUCAACAAGUUAAAUUUGCAAUAAAAUAGAUAGAAAUUCUUGAUACACAAACACCAACAGUGCAGUCCUGCUGGAUCUAAAUCAGCUUCUUAAUUUCUCUUUAUUUCAUUUUCAUUCAGCAAUUAAUGAGUUGUCCUGCACUGAUGUUGUGGAAUUCACUUUGUCAGCAGUUCAGGGAGAGCACUGGCAGGUUGGACAGGGAUUGGAGAUGGACAGCAAGAGCUGGGAAGUGUGAAGAAGGUUCUGCUAAAUUUCAAGGAAUUUGGACUGCUGAGAGCAGCUUCCCAGUGGAUCCCUGCAAGGCUCUGGGAGUGCUCCCAGGAGAGUUUGCCAUGGCAGAAGAAGCAUUUCCAUGCUGCCUCUUCCACUGCUUUGAGCCCCAGCCCAGCGCUGGCACCGGGGAUGAAGAGGCACUGAGGUGACCCUGAGAGCAAGUGCAAGGCACAGGGCGCAGCUGAGGAAGGACAGCGCUGUGCUGGGCUCAGAGGUGAAGCUGGCACUGCCCAGCGUGGAGAAGGUCCUUUGUGCAGCCCCUGUUACAGGGGAGCUUGGGCCUUGCUGCAGAGAUACGGCCGCUCAUUGGAGCAGAACUCACUCCUGAAUUUAUCGUCAGCCAGGUACACACACUCGGAAG